rnacentral:rRNA from 1 species
AGCGAACGCUGGCGGCAGGCUUAACACAUGCAAGUCGAACGCCCCGCAAGGGGAGUGGCAGACGGGUGAGUAACACGUGGGAACGUACCCUUUGGUUCGGAAUAACUUGGGGAAACUCAAGCUAAUACCGGAUAAGCCCUUAUGGGGAAAGGUUUACUGCCGAAGGAUCGGCCCGUGUCUGAUUAGCUAGGUGGUGAGGUAAUGGCUCACCAAGGCGACGAUCAGUAGCUGGUCUGAGAGGAUGAUCAGCCACACUGGGACUGAGACACGGCCCAGACGCCUACGGGAGGCAGCAGUGGGGAAUAUUGGACAAUGGGGGCAACCCUGAUCCAGCCAUGCCGCGUGAGUGAUGAAGGCCUUAGGGUUGUAAAGCUCUUUUACCCGGGACGAUAAUGACUGUACCGGGAGAAUAAGCCCCGGCUAACUUCGUGCCAGCAGCCGCCGUAA